UAGGUCUCAAAAAAUAGUCGAUUAAAAACGGUUAAAUCUCAAAAAGAGUUAGGCCUGGAAAAGGUUAACUCUUAAAAAACUGUCGAAUAUUAGAAAAGGUUAGGUUGUGACCGGAUAACCGAUAGGCACGAGUCGAGAUCAAGACAAUUGGGAACUCACCAAAGACUUUGCGCAAGUCGUCACAGUCGCCAGCCCCUUUAUGUCCACCAAGAGGCAAGGAUUUCCGCUCCCAGGGUUGUCGCUCAGUUCUGCUGCGCUGGAAGCUCUGCGUUUCUGGAUGUGCCGGAAGAAUGAACAACACAAUGGAACGCCUUCACGUGCCGUCGCACAAAACCAACAACGCUUAUUUCGCGAUUAUCGCUAAUCACUAAUUUUCUUUCUGUUUCAGGUGCUGCUGUCAACGUCAGGAUGUCCUCCCAGGUCGCCGUCAAUCCCACAGGGACUUCACCAGGUAAGUAUAUUUUCAGAGGGUGUCUUGCCCGUGGCCCCGUUGGUUAUCAGGAUCGGUUCAGCUCAGCUCGCCAGGAAUCCGUCACGUCUCAGUGAUCACACGCACGUCGGAAAGAUAGGUGAACGAAUAAACUCAAUUCAGUAUGUUUAUUAACAAUAACAAAACAACGGUUUAUUCAACUCUGAUUUUGUUCACAGGAAUCCGUCCGCGUCGCUUAUUCACAAACGAUUCGCACAAUUUCGGAUUUCCAAGAACACUUCGGCCUACUCGCAUUCGGCCGCUUGUAAUUAAUACGCUUUUAACGUGCACAGCACGGAACUCACGCACUCGCGUGAUCUCGUGUUUCGGUGUUUCGAGAUCUUGGCUUUUUAGAAUCUCAAUAGCGCGCGAAAACUCUUGCGUCGGUAUUCCGCGGUGUUAUCGCUAGGAAAUUCUGCGCGCGAAAGCUCACGAGAGCUCUCGGUGCUCGCUUUUGUACUCGGGAGAGAGACGCUACUCCCUCCCGUCGGAAUCCGCCAAUCGCGCGUAAGCUUUACUGCGCCGCUGCCGGGAGCGCCCGGGCUUCCCCCUCCCGUCGGGUUGCGCCAACCACGCGUGGCGUCGUUUCCCCCGGGCGCGGGACUUCGCUGCAGUCCCCACUCCUCGCGGCUUGCUCGGCUGCGCGGUUUGGUUGCGCUGUGGGCAUCGUACAUGCUGCCCCCUCCAGCUUGGCGGAUCCCCAUCACCAAGGUGGAGACUGCACUUGCGAGUGCAGCUACUAUGUGUUGAUUGCAAUUAAAGUGCAAUCCACACCAAUUACGUGUUUUAUGCCGGGUUAAAGCCAUGAUACCAAGAAGUGCAUUGAACAUGCAUAGGAAAUCAAGAAUGUUAUGUUGAGCCUCAAAUUAACAAUAUUGAAGAGAAAACAAACGUAGCACAAAAGUUGUGCUUCAAGCAUGUCAAAGUGACAGAUUUUUUACUAUGUGAAAUCAAACAAAGGUGAUAUGGCUCAGUAUGAUUUGUUCUGAAAAUGACUUUAAUCCGACUGUGUCGCCCGUACUUAAGAAUUAAGGAAACUAUUAUGGCAAUCGCUGCUAUGUGAAUACAGGCAAAAAUAUAAUUAUAAUAACUAUGACUAUUAAUAGGAUGACUACUAAAGUGAUUAUAACAAUAGUAGGUAAGUAUAACAUUUUUUAUAACUAAUUUGAAAAGCAUAAAAUGAUUACAAGAAUGAAUAAUAAUAAAAUUAUGACCAACGUAAGUAAAGUCAUGAUAAGAACGAAAAACAUUUCUUAAGGACUAGAUUGCGGAAUAUAUUUUUGAGAGAAUAUAAGAUACAAUAUACAAUAUAAUGCAAACACGAUUAUUAUAUAAUUUUAUAAAAUGAGUAAGGUGGUGUGGGCGCGCGUUUACGUCUAACUUAAAAUUAAGGUUAAUAUGCAUAAACAAUAUUGAUAUAACUUAUCAUGAAAAUAACUAAAACAGUAUGGACGCACGUUUACUGGCAACCUAAAAUAAGGGGUUGACAUGCGCAAAUGAAAAGAAGUGAAAAUUUAUUAUAAAUCACUAAAAGAGGUAUGAAUACGCAUUUAAUGUUAACUUAAAAAAAAAAUGGUUAACGCGCAGGUAAGAAAAGGUAAUGUUUAUAUAUGCGCUAUUUAUUGGGGCGCACUAUAGGGUUGGGGCUUCCCGCUGGCGAUCUUCUUGGUCGACCGCAGGUUGUUGCGCACGCUGUAUAAUGAUGCUGACCGCCUCCUUUGUCUGGGCCCCCUUGAGUUCAAAUGGUACUGCUGUGGCUGUCCCGGCUAUGUCCUCUGGUGAUGUCGAUGGACCGGGGCGUAGGCUGACCCUGGGGAACGGUUUCAAAGUCUGAAAAAAGUUAGGUCUAGAGAAAGUUAGGUCUCAAAAAACAGUCGAAUAUUAAAAACGAUUAGGUCUCAAAAAAGUUAGGUUUCAAAAAACAGUCGAAUAUUAAAGACGAUUAAGUCUCAAGAAAGUUAGGUCUUAAAAAACAGUCGAAUAUUAAAGAAGGUUAAAUCUUAAAAAAAUUAGCUCUCAAAAAGGUUUAAGUCUCAAAUAUCAAGGUUUUGUCUGAAAAAAUAAAAGUAAGAACUGAAAAAUAAAAGUUACAUCUGCAAAAAAUACGUUAGAACUAAAAAAUAAAGGUUAGGAUGUGACCGGAUUACCGAAUGACGUGACUCACGAGUUUGGACAAACAAAGAUUCACAAACCUUUCGUUGCAGGUUUUCACAGUCGCCAGCCUCUUUAUAACCUCCAAGAGGCAAGGUGUGGUGUCCCGGAAUUGUCGCUCUGCUCAGGAACGCCGGAACGCACGUCGGUGUUGCUUCCGUUGGAAGGACAGCUACCACUAACUGGAUUAUAUCCCAGAAGAAAUUCACAACACACGAACUUCGAACGAACUUAUUAUUAAUCCUUUGUCUCUUUUCUUUCAGGUGCCGCCGUCGUCCCAGGAUCAUCCAGGAUCACCUUCGUCGUCCCACAGGAACUUCGCCAGGUAAGUAUAUUUUUUAUUUUUAGGUUUACCCGCGGUCCCGUUUGUUAAUAGGAUUUCUCUUUCACAGGAUACCCGGAAUCUCACGGACUCAGGAACGGACACGCUGUCUGGUAUGCAGGUAAGUGAGAGAUAACACUUGAUUGUUUUUAGUAACAAAUAACAAACAGUAUGCUUUAUUCAAAGUUGCCAAUGUCACAUCUGUCACAUUUAUCCCGAACGCGGCGCUUGUUCACAAACGAGUAAACGCACUUUUGUGAUGUCGGGAAAAUCGAACCUACUCGCAUUCGGUGGAUUUAAUAUGUUUAUUACGCGGAUGACACAGUUCACAAUCGAUCCGCGGAACUCUCGCUUGUCCCAAUUGCCUACUCGAGUUCGGCGGGACUAUCUCUCAAAACGCGCGAAAACUCUUUUCUUCGGUUAUUCGCGGUGUUAUCGUCUUGAUUUCUAGCGCGAAAGCUCGCUUUCUUUAACGUGCAUAGCACGGAACUCACGCACUCGCGAAAACUCGUAUUUAAUUAUUCCGAGUCGCAGUCGCUACGAUACUCAGCGCGGGAGAGUCCUUCGUUCGAUCUGCCGCGAUGUUAAGUCUAAGAUAUCUUGCGCGCGAAAUCUCCUGAGAGCUCUCGGUGCUCGCUUAAGUACUCGGGAGAGUGACGCUACCCCCUCCCGUCGGGAUCCGCCAAUCAUACGCUAACUCGCACGCGUCGCUGCCGGGAGCGCUCGGGUUUCCCCCUCCCGUCGGGUUACGCCAACCACGCGUGGCGUCGGUUUCCCCCGGUCGCGGGACUCUGCUAAGGCCCCCACUCCUUACGGCUCGCUCGGCUGCGCGGCCUGGUUGCGCUGUGGGCAUCGUGCUUGGUUGCCCCCUCCAGUUUGGCGUAUCCCCACCAUUGAAUGGAGAUUGCACUUGCAAGUGCAAAUAUUUGGUUUUGAUCGCAUUUAAGGUGCAAUCCAUACUUAUUAUAUAUCUUAAUGUUAGACGCGGCUCAUUAAAGCCACGAUACCAGAAAAUGCAUUGAGUAUGCGUAUGAAACCAAAAAUGUUGCGUUAAGCCUUAAUAUUAUGAUAUUAUAAAGAAAGUAAACAUAGCACAAAAAUUGUGCCUCAUGCAUAUUCGAAUGACUAGUUUUGUCAUGUAAUUUAAUAGAAAAAUAUUAUUGGUUAAUAGGAACCUCUUAUUAGGUGUUAAUAGUGCACUAGAGUGCGUUUUUAUGCAUUUUCUAAUAUUAUUUAAAGGUUUUGCGUAUUGCACUUAAAGUGCAGUUUUCACGCAAAUAUUGCACUUAAAGUGCAGUUUUCUUAAGAUUAACUUUAUGAACGUCGCUACGCAAAUACAGGCAAACAUAGGAUUAUAAUAAUGAUAAUUAUUAAGAGUAUGAUUACUAAGGUAAGUAUAACAAUUGUGGGUAAGUAUAACUAUUUAUAAGAUUUAUUUCGUAAACUUAGAACACAGAAUGCAUGCAAAUGCAAAUAAAACUUCGGAAUAUAAAAUAAUAAUUAGCAACUUUGACUGUAUUAGGACGCUAAACAUUUAACUUGCGCCUUUGAUGAAAAUAACCUUAACGUAUAAAAAAUCAUUAAACGAAACAAAGGCAAGAGCGAUUAUUUAAUUCGCGGGGUCGGGCAUAUCAUUCCUGUCGGGCUGGCUGCUGCUCCUCGCCCUCGUAGCUGAUGUGAUCCUGGGCACGUUCCAACACGAUGCUGACCACACUCCUACCCUCUAUUAUUUUGUUUUCCGCCUUGGUUGACUUAAACACCGGCGUUGGACCUCCCGUGUGCUCCUGGGCUGCCGUGGAUGGUCCCGGUUGCUGGGCGACCUGAGUAGACGGUCGCAAGGACUUAAAAAUAAAAGUUUCGUCUGUUGAAAAUAAAAGUUAAAACUUGAAAAUAGAGGUUAGGACUAAAAAAUAAAGAUUAGGACUGAAAAAUAAGUUUUGUCUGCCGAAAUUAAAGGUUAGGACUGAAUAAUAGAGGUUAAGACUAAAAAAUAGAGGUUAGGACUGAAAAAUAAAAGUUUCGUCUGCUGAAAUUAAAUGUUAGGAUUGAAAAAUAAAGGUUAGAACUGAAAAAUAGAAAUUAAAAUUGAAAAAUAAAAGUUCCGUUUGCCAAAAA